rnacentral:lncRNA from 1 species
UUUUGUCCAUACUCCUUUCUGUUUGUUCGUAUUUUUUAGUUGUAGCUAUCACAUGGUUCUAUAAUUUUUAAUUAUCUAUGGUGGCUACAUCUAAUACUAAUAUUCUCAUCUGAUUAAGAUUAGAAGUGAAAUAAUUUAUUGCAGUGCACCUUUAUGAAAAGAUGGUGUUUGUGGUACUGUUGCCAUGAUAAUUUAGCAAUAUCAAAUGUAUUAGAAUGUGAUAUACCUGGGUUGUUUGUGCAGGUUCAUGUCUGGGAACUCUUUGUCGGUGUGAAACAUCAUGUCUGCAGAACGCCACAAAAACCGUUGGCACGCAGCUUGCCAAGGGCGAGGCAACGGAAAGUAAAUGGAUGUAAACACCCAAUGCCCUAGAGAUGAAUUUCAGAGAUUGUUCACCUCACCGCUGUAGAUAAACAAAUCAGAGGGGACUUACGACGGCUGCAGGCAAGUAGGCGAUGAAGCCCAGUGCCCGACGAACAAUGGGGGCAUGCCAGGGAUGAAUGGCGACGACGAGCUACGGAUGGGCAAGGGCGACUGCGGCUGGCGAUGGACAGAGGAUCGAUAGGGUUGAUCGACGUUGUGUGCGAUGGCGAAGGUGGCGCGCGAGAUCCAGGGACGAGGAGGUGAGGUUGCGCGCGGUGUCAUGCGAGGGCCAGGGACUUGUAGGUGAGGGCACGGUCGCGUGACUGGCGGCGCGGGGUGAUCACGGAAUUGAUCACGAUUGUUAGGGGAUUGAUUUUGCCUUCCUGAUCUGUUGCGGCUGUUACAGGAUUGAUGAUUUUUGCCUUCCUGUUUCGGGUGGUGGCAUUUGAUAAAGUCUCCACGCCUGGGGCUCAGCCGGGGUGGUAUUUUGAGGGAAGCCAACGGAGUCGCGGAGAGUGGAUCGCACCCACGCAGGCAGACGGACGAUGUUCAAUUGCCGCACGAAAAAGUGUCCAUUCUUUAGUCUUUUUAGUUGUAGGAGAUUGUUCAGAAAAAACUUGUUGUUGUGGGUGAGAUAGUAUGACAUCCUAUUUGAUGGUUUUUGUUUUCUCUCUCAUUGCACUGUUAAGCUUGUACAUCCUACAUUGUUGUUGUCCAAGCCAUAACUACCAUUGCGAUAAGGUAUAGUAAACCUUGUAGACUGAAGAUAUAUGAUUUUCUUCAUGCUUUAGCUCUUGGGUGUGUGCAGUCAAUAUUUUCAGAAUUGUAGCUAAGUAAUAGGGGAAAUUAGGGUGCUGGUGCUUAAGGUCCUAAAUGAAAUGUAUAGAGCUCAAGAUUAUCUUGCCAGGUAUAUAGUAUUGAGGUGGCCUCUUUUUUUUCUUUGCCUUGUUUCUGUAUAGAUAUUCACCAGCAUGAUAUUUGCAAACUUGAAUGGACCCAUGAGAGGCAUCUUGAUUUUGUCCAUACUCCUUUCUGUUUGUUCGUAUUUUUUAGUUGUAGCUAUCACAUGGUUCUAUAAUUUUUAAUUAUCUAUGGUGGCUACAUCUAAUACUAAUAUUCUCAUCUGAUUAAGAUUAGAAGUGAAAUAAUUUAUUGCAGUGCACCUUUAUGAAAAGAUGGUGUUUGUGGUACUGUUGCCAUGAUAAUUUAGCAAUAUCAAAUGUAUUAGAAUGUGAUAUACCUGGGUUGUUUGUGCAGGUUCAUGUCUGGGAACUCUUUGUCGGUGUGAAACAUCAUGUCUGCAGAACGCCACAAAAACCGUUGGCACGCAGCUUGCCAAGGGCGAGGCAACGGAAAGUAAAUGGAUGUAAACACCCAAUGCCCUAGAGAUGAAUUUCAGAGAUUGUUCAC